UAACUUACAUCUAUAAACGCCAGGGAAUUACGAGCUACGCUUAAAACCCAAAGGAUUUGACGGUGUCCCACCCACCUAGAGGAGCCUGUUCUAUAAUCGAUAAUACCCGCUAUACCCAACCACCUCUUGCUAUUCAGUCUGUAUACCUCCGUCGAAAGCUUACCAUGUGAACGCCUACAGUGAGUACAAUGAUCCCCAACGUCAACACGUCAGGUCAAGGUGCAGCUUAAGGGGUGGAAAGAAAUGGGCUACAAUUUCUAAUCUAGAACAAACGAAAGACUAUGUGAAAUCAUGGUACUGAAGGCGGAUUUAGCAGUAAAAAGAAAAUAGAGCGUUCUUUUUAACCUGGCUCUGGGACGCGUACACACCGCCCGUCAC
rnacentral:rRNA from 1 species